rnacentral:rRNA from 1 species
GACGAACGCUGGCGGCGUGCUUAACACAUGCAAGUUGAACGAAGUGGCGAACGGGUGAGUAACGCGUAAUCAACCUGCCCUUCAGAGGGGGACACCAGUUGGAAACGACUGCUAAUACCGCAUACUGAAGGAGGGGAUUGCGUCUGCUUAGCUAGUUGGAGGGGUAACGGCCCACCAAGUCGAUGAUCAGUAGCCGGGCUGAGGGGAUGAACGGGCACAUUGGGACUGGGACACGGCCCAGAAUCCUACGGGAGGCGGGAGUGGGGAAUCUUCCGAAAUGGAAGAAAGUCUGACGGAGCAACGCCGCGGGAGUGAUGACGGCCUUCGGGUUGUAAAGCUCUGUUAAUCGGGACGCGGUACCGGAAUAGAAAGCCACGGCUAACUACGUGCCAGCCGCCGCGGUAAUUC